CCAGAAGUUCCACACUGUCAAGUUAAUAAGAAUUUAAAACUAACAAUAAUAUAAGUAGCCGCGGAGGUUAAGUACGGCCAUGUUAAGUACUAUGGAGAACUGGGGAAACAGUAGCAGCCGCGCAUUCUUUUGUCUGUGAACAGUGCUAAUUGGAGUGAAAUUGAUGUAUUUAAACCUACAUUUUUAUUCUCUAUGAGGUAGGUUUUUCCUAGUGUUUAUUUUGCAGCCAUGGCAAAGAAAGACCACCGCUGUGACAAAUUCUUUGUAACCGAAAAGUCCUUCAAUAACUGCAAAGACGGAUCACAGAAUUUCUGCAAGACCUCGAUUAGCGCCCCAAGAGUCGUAAAUUCCUUCAAUAAUAAGGGAUCAGGUUACCAAAACUUAAGGGGAUUGAAGAUUCAUUGCGAUGACAAAUCUGUUUUGCACUAUUUCCGAGCCCUUGUCGGCAGUGGGAUAUCUAGACUUUUCAACUACAACGGAAACGAAUCUCAGGAGUUCCCUGGCUUCACCUUCUUACAGUAUCUGCGUGACUUAACCCGUGUGGGAUGAGAGCUGAAAUACGGAACUAGGGAAAUGUAGUCAUGGAGGCAUAAUACUACCCUAAGGAUUUUCCCCAUUCUCAGUUUAUUUGUUCAAGACUGUCUUUGUUUUAUAUCCUCGUUCAACUUUCAGUUUAAGGAUAUAUUUUCGAGGGUGUGACUUUGUUUUAUACACACAUUGAACUUUCACUCUUGAUUAUUACAACAAAUGUUAACUAUACUUUAUACUUUA